rnacentral:tRNA from 2 species
GCCUUUAUAGCUCAGUCGGGAGAGCGCUAGACUGAAGAUCUAGUUGUCGCCGGUUCAAUUCCGGCUGAAGGCA